rnacentral:lncRNA from 1 species
AUGGUUAACACAAAGGAUAACCAAGAGGGUCGUUUCACUUAUGGGGUUCAACCUCUUCUCUUGCUCGUAUCAAAGGCCUGAGAUCUGCAAAACAGUAAACACCGUUAGUCUCGUUAAGAGGGGAAAAGGGGGUUUUCCCUCUUAACCAGGCUCCGGCGUGAGAAUAAGUACUGCUCUGAGAUGAAUAAAACAGUGUGUGUAUAGAGUGAGUAAAGAGAGCCAAGAUCCUUAACCUGAAUGAUGAAGGGUUCUAUUUAUAGCCGGAUGGUGAAGAAGGAGGGAGCAGCUGUGCCAGCUGUGGGUGUGCGCCAGCUGUCCGACCAAGGGGAAUAUCCUCUUGGUCUGCUCUGUCGCGAAGGGUGUAGUGGUACACGUGGCGUCCUUCUAUUUGCUUACGCUGGAUACCUCGUACUGGUUGCGUCAGACUUGCUCCCUGGAUCGUCGCAGGCCUAUGUGGCCUUCUCUUAAUGGUGACACGUGUUGUCCUUUAUGUUGGGCAAAGCAUCUUCGAUGCCAGCUAUGAACCGCCUAGAUGUCUUCUGGAAGCUUCUAGAAGGUCCUGGUGACAUGGGUGCUUUGUGUGCACAAAAGUGUGGUGUGGUCCCUGCCAUGUAGGCAGGGAAUUGGGACCAUACCUCUUCAAGUCCCCCAAGUCCAGUGUGCCUUCUAGUUGAGUUGAUCGUCUAGGAGGGAUUCUGGACUUAU